GAUGAAGAACGUAGCGAAAUGCGAUAAGUAAUGUGAAUUGCAGAAUUCAGUGAAUCAUCGAAUCUUUGAACGCACAUUGCGCCCCUUGGUAAUCCGAGGGGCAUGCCUGUUCGAGCGUCAUUACACCACUCAAGCUAUGCUUGGUAUUGGGCGUCGUCCUUAGUUGGGCGCGCCUUAAAGACCUCGGCGAGGCCACUCCGGCUUUAGGCGUAGUAGAAUUUAUUCGAACGUCUGUCAAAGGAGAGGAACUCUGCCGACUGAAACCUUUAUUUUUCUAGGUUGACCUCGGAUCAGGUAGGGAUACCCGCUGAACUUAAGCAUAUCAAUAAGCGGAGGA
rnacentral:misc_RNA from 1 species